CCCCCCUCCGGUCGGAGGGUACGGAGGGCGCUCGCUACGCCUCUGGCCAGCGCUUAACCUGUCCCUCUCCACUCUGCCAUGCCAAACACUCUCUACCAAAGAAAGCAUUCCGCUGCCACUGCCAAACCCCACCUGACCACCAAACUCCUCUUUAAUGGUGUACCAAACCACGUUCAGCUGCUGGUGCCAAGUCCUUCCUUACUCUCUUCUCCAAUCACUCCGCUGCCACUUCAGCCAUCCCCAUCUCUAGCCUGCCCCUUACCUUCUACUACAGGUUGAACCUCUCUAGUUGACCCUCGACCUGACGGGUGCCAAACCACGGGAGGUCAAAGCAGAGUGCCAGUGGGUCUUCAUAGGUGCGGGUCUCCAUAGGUGUAGUACCCCCAGGCUUUGUGCCCAGCAUGGUCCCUUGCCCAGGGGCCCCACUGCCACCCAGAGUCCUGGCCUCUGGCCCCCCACCUGGGGGCUCCAAUGCUGGCCCCAGGUCCUAGCUGCUGGCCACUCGCCUGGGGUCCCAGUCGCCAGCCCCAGGUCCUCCCUUUCCCUUCCGGAGAUUGAACACCACGAAUCAGCUGUUCGUGGCACUCUGGGGGCACUGGGAGGGAGGAGGAGAAGCUGGUAAGUGCGGGGCUGCCGGCGUGCGAGUAGGGUGACCAGACAGCAAGUGUGAAAAAUCGGGACAGUGGGUGGGGGGUAAUAGGAGUCUAUGUAAGAAAAAGAUCCCAAAACCAGGACUGUCCCUAUAAAAUCGGGACACCUGGUCACCCUACGUGCGAGAGGCAUGGGGGGAGAGCUUGGCGCUGGUGGAUGCUCUGCACCCACUAAUUUUUCCCCAUGGGUGCUUCAGCCCCAGAGCAUCCAUGGAGUCUGCACCUAUUCCUGCCCACAGAUGUUGCCAGACCAGGGAGUGCCGGAUUAGUGAGGUUCAACCUGUACUGUCUGCUUCCUCUCAAACUAACCCAUUUACUGCUACUGCUUGCAACCCCUUUCCUAACCAAUCCUCCUCCCACUAAACCACUCUGCUUCUGUGCAGUGACACUGAUCACUGGUUAGCAUUAGCCUUUCCUUUUUAUUGUCCACAAUUAUUUCUUCUCCUCUAUUUUUUUCCUCCUUGUUUCUGUGUUGAACCCCCCAGGCCCUUGCUCUUUUUUUCCUUUGGUAAGUGUUGUUACUCAGUGAGCUUGAAGUUUUAAAAUAACUCCCCUUGGGAGGAGGGAUGGGGGAAGCAACUGGAUUGCAUUUCGCAUUGUUGGCUUUCUUCCCAGGAGGAGAAGGUUUGGCAGUGUGUGUGUGUGCACGCGUGUGAGCGCGCGCACACACACACACACAAAAUGCAAUUCUGCCUGAAUAAGGAUCAGGGCAGGGGAAUUUAUCUUUCAAGUGAAGUACCUUCAGUAUCUCAUUUGUGUGUCGGACCUUCAGUGUGCCAUUGCUCAGGCUAUGUUUGUUCUUCUGUUCAACUUGUUGAAAUGUUAGAUGAGAGUAGGCUUAGGCCUGUGUGCUGCUGUUCCAGUUCAGUCAGUACAGUUUGAACACGUUGGGAAUGUCUGAACAUGACUUAGAAAAAUAGAUAAUCUCAGUCAUGAAAAAUAUAGUUGUUAGCUAGCUAGGAAAACAUACCACUAUAAAGGUGUCAUUGGUUCUUUUGGCAGCACUUACCCCUUUGUAGAAGAAGAUUGUAGGUUCAACACUCAACUAGGACUUUGGUGCAGACCUGAUGCUGACACUGCAAUGUAGUAGCAAAGAGGGGAGGAGCUGCAGCAUUAGAGGCAGUGCCCUUUGGAUGAGAGCCUUUUCUGCUUCUUUCUGUGGGUUGUCCAGCUGGAAAUUAAAGAUCUCCUAGUACUUCUUGAAAAGAGUACAUUAUAACCUUACUGCAACGGGGUCUAGAUAGGUUAAUCUUAGUGCCCACAUAAUCCAUGGCAUAAUCACACACAAAACCAUACCAAAGAUAACCGGAUCAUAGUGGCAUAAUUACAACAGUCUAUAUAAUCAAAAUAUAGGUUAAAACAGAAAAUUACUUUUUGGUCUAACCCAAAGUUUACUUCUCCAGACACACAGAAAACUUCAACCACUGCAGCUCAUCCAAACCCAAACACACCAAUUCUGCCUCAGUUUCUAGGCCCAAAGCUAUUACACACCCAUCUCUCUGAGAAUCCUCUGAGCAGCCUUUCUUUCUGUCUCACCACCAACUUUGGGAGGGGAAGCUAGCUGCCUAAGUUUAUCUUUACAGCUACAUUCUCCAUUUUAGUUCAACAAUAUGGCACCUCAUGGAAGAGCAGAUGAACGGAUAACUAACACAAUCAAGGUGUCAAUUUUGGAAGGACUGAAUACUGACUAAUGAAAGGAGCUAGAGAAACUCAUUGCUACUAAUUCACUGCAAUCAUAAUUAUCACCCUAACAGAUGCUGGAAGCUGCACCAGCCCUCCCAUGCAGUAGAACUCUGGAUUAGCUUCUCUGCCGUCAAUGGGCUUGUGUACGCUACCGGCCGGAUUGAUGGGCAGCGAUCAAUCCAGCAGGGGUUGAUCAAUCGACCGCAGAUCACUUUAGCGUCAACUUUGGUACUCCACCUCAAUGAGAAGCGCAAGGGGAAUCGACGGGAGAGCGUCUCCUGUUGACACACCACGCCUUCUACUCCUUGCCUGAAGGCUUCCUAUAUUGAUCUCCCCACCGAAGAGGUAUCUACUCCUCCACAGACCUCAUGAACAUUUCUAAGAGUUAGAUGGUAAGCCCUUUUAUACAGGGAA